AGCAGCCGCGGUAAUUCCAGCUCCAAUAGCGUAUAUUAAAGUUGUUGCAGUUAAAAAGCUCGUAGUUGAAUUUCGGGGUUAGUAAGUUGGUCAUGCCUUCGGUAUGUACUGGCUUUACUGAUUCCUCCUUCUUGACGAACCGUGAUGUCAUUAAUUUGGUGUUGCGGGAAAUCAGGACUGUUACUUUGAAAAAAUUAGAGUGUUUAAAGCAGGCUAACGCUUGAAUACAUUAGCAUGGAAUAAUGAAAUAGGACGUUAAUCCUAUUUUGUUGGUUUCUAGGAUCGACGUAAUGAUUAAUAGGGAUAGUUGGGGGCAUUAGUAUUCAAUUGUCAGAGGUGAAAUUCUUGGAUUUAUUGAAGACUAACUACUGCGAAAGCAUUUGCCAAGGAUGUUUUCAUUAAUCAAGAACGAAAGUUAGGGGAUCGAAGACGAUCGGAUACCGUCGUAGUCUUAACCAUAAACUAUGCCGACUAGGGAUCGGAUGAUGUUAUUUUUAAUGACUCAUUCGGCGCCUUACG
rnacentral:rRNA from 1 species